UCAAGAAUUUGAAUAACAAUUUAAAAAAAUUAUCACCCUUGUGUGAAAUAUUUGCAUUGUACAUUUCAUAUAUAAGUUCGAAUCUUUUAUUUUCAUUUACUGGAUUUCAAUUACUGGAUUAAAAAUGAAUUUCUACUUGUUCUGUGCAAGCAUUCUCCUUCUUUGCUUUGGGUUGACCACAGCUGAAAACUGUACGUGCACCACCUUUCUUAUGGGAGAAGAUGGUUUUAAAAGAGAAAACGAAACCAUGUCAUUUAAAUUUGAUAUAGAGAAUACCAAGUGUGAUUUUGAUCUUACCUUAAAGUGUCAGCGUGCCUGUAUUCAAAGGUUUAAUUGACUGUCAGAUGAGGGCAAUUUAUGCUCUGUAAUACAGGGAGGUCAAGAAAAAGUUGGAGAUCUGAUGUGUCAAGCUAUCAACAGGGACGUAUGUAAUAGACAAAUAGGUAUCAUGCUGAAGGACUGUGGUAGUGCGGCUUUUCCAUUUGUCGAUUCAGGUUACCGAUUUGAAGAUGAAAUAUGCUGUAAAUCAGGAAAAAACACAAAUUGUUAAAAAACGCAUAGCUUUCUGCAUAAACACUUGCGUUUGCUGAAACAUUUAUGAUACAUGUUGGAAAUAUUUCGAUUAAAAUAAACAUCAAAAUUUAAAAGAAAA
rnacentral:lncRNA from 1 species